AUUGAACGCUGGCGGCAUGCUUUACACAUGCAAGUCGAACGGCAGCACGGGGGCAGCCCUGGUGGCGAGUGGCGAACGGGUGAGUAAUACAUCGGAACGUGCCCGGUCGUGGGGGAUAACGUAGCGAAAGUUACGCUAAUACCGCAUACGAUCUGAGGAUGAAAGCGGGGGACCUUCGGGCCUCGCGCGAUCGGAGCGGCCGAUGUCAGAUUAGGUAGUUGGUGGGGUAAAGGCCUACCAAGCCGACGAUCUGUAGCUGGUCUGAGAGGACGACCAGCCACACUGGGACUGAGACACGGCCCAGACUCCUACGGGAGGCAGCAGUGGGGAAUUUUGGACAAAGGGCGCAAGCCUGAUCCAGCCAUUCCGCGUGCAGGACGAAGGCCUUCGGGUUGUAAACUGCUUUUGUACGGAACGAAAAGGCUCUGGCUAAUACCUGGGGCUCAUGACGGUACCGGAAGAAUAAGCACCGGCUAACUACGUG
rnacentral:rRNA from 1 species